GACGAACGCUGGCGGCGUGCUUAACACAUGCAAGUCGAACGGAAAGGCCCCUUUGGGGGUACUCGAGUGGCGAACGGGUGAGUAACACGUGAGUAACCUGCCCUUGACUUCGGGAUAACUUCAGGAAACUGGGGCUAAUACCGGAUAGGAAUCCUUGCUGCAUGGUGGGGGUUGGAAAGCUUCGGCGGUUUUGGAUGGACUCGCGGCUUAUCAGCUUGUUGGUGGGGUAGUGGCUUACCAAGGCUUUGACGGGUAGCCGGCCUGAGAGGGCGACCGGCCACAUUGGGACUGAGAUACGGCCCAGACUCCGACGGGAGGCAGCAGUGGGGAAUAUUGCACAAUGGGCGGAAGCCUGAUGCAGCAACGCCGCGGGCGGGAUGACGGCCUUCGGGUUGUAAACCGCUUUCAGCAGGGGCGAAGCUUGUGGUGACGGUACCUGCAGAAGAAGCACCGGCUAACUACGUG
rnacentral:rRNA from 1 species